rnacentral:sRNA from 1 species
GCCAGGCAUGGUGGUGCAUGCCUGUAAUCCCAUUGACUCAGGAGGCUGAGGCAGGAGGAUCAAGAGUUCAAGGCCAGCCUUAGUAACUUAGUGAGGCCCUAGGUGACUUAGCAAGAUCCUGUCUCAA